CUCACCGAGCUUUCUGUUAGACCAACGUGAUAGGUGGGCCGUAUCGCCGUCUAUAACGGUCGAGCCAACUGUGUUAGUGAACGCUGCACUUAAAAUAAAUAGUGAGGUGUGGGUACUUAGUUCAUCUUACGAGGUACCUCUGACUACCCCAUUGGGAUAUAGUCAUGAGGUUAUUAUGACUAUUUUGAUAUUGACGAAAAUACCAACUCUAAGUUAUACCUGUCAUUUUCUUAUCCGCCGAAAAGGAAAAGUAAUCGACAGGGUAAAAAAUUUUGGAACACACAAUUUCAUUUUGGCCAGAAAUUCACAAAAUGAAGAAUGUAGCCUAUUAACCCGACAGAAUUAAGUUAACAGCACACGUCAAAAAGGUUGCAUACCAUCGUGAUGCCUAUUUGAUUCGGCCGGGUUAUUGUUCCAUUCGCUCAUUCAUUUUGAAAUUAACAACUGUCAAAUUAUCAACCAUCAGUUCCUUUCCUUUUCGAGGGGUAUGAAAAUGACAGGUAUAACUUAAAAUAAAAUUAGGAUAUGCCUGCGGGAAUCAGUACCAAUAUAUUUUUAAUAUAAUUUUCAAAGGUGUUAAUAUUAUUAUUAUAAGCAAAUAUUUUGUAUCCUCUGUUAGUAUAAACAUUGCGUUUGGACUUUUUAUAUUAUAGAUAUAGGUAAUCGAGUGCAAUUAUUAUUAUAUAAACUUGUGUAAAAUAUCAUAUUAAUUUGUUGAAAUAAUAUAAUAAAUAAAUAUUU